UAAGACAUGGUGUAGCGGGAACACAGCCUCUUUUCUUUUUGGCUACCAACAGAAUAGUUUGGAGGCGGUCCAGGGUUUGAGUCCCUGUGUCUGAA